rnacentral:rRNA from 1 species
GACGAACGCUGGCGGCGUGCCUAAUACAUGCAAGUUGAGCGAUGAAGAUUGGUGCUUGCACCAAUUUGAAGAGCAGCGAACGGGUGAGUAACGCGUGGGGAAUCUGCCUUUGAGCGGGGGACAACAUUUGGAAACGAAUGCUAAUACCGCAUAACAACUUUAAACAUAAGUUUUAAGUUUGAAAGAUGCAAUUGCAUCACUCAAAGAUGAUCCCGCGUUGUAUUAGCUAGUUGGUGAGGUAAAGGCUCACCAAGGCGAUGAUACAUAGCCGACCUGAGAGGGUGAUCGGCCACAUUGGGACUGAGACACGGCCCAAACUCCUACGGGAGGCAGCAGUAGGGAAUCUUCGGCAAUGGACGAAAGGCUGACUGAGCAACGCCGCGUGAGUGAAGAAGGUUGUCGGAUCGUAAAACUCUGUUGGUAGAGAAGAACGUUGGUGAGAGUGGAAAGCUCAUCAAGUGACGGUAACUACCCAGAAAGGGACGGCUAACUACGUG